rnacentral:rRNA from 1 species
UGAGGAAUAUUGGUCAAUGGACGAGAGUCUGAACCAGCCAAGUAGCGUGCAGGAAGACGGCCCUAUGGGUUGUAAACUGCUUUUAUACGGGGAUAAAGUUAGCCACGUGUGGCUAUUUGCAGGUACCGUAUGAAUAAGGACCGGCUAAUUCCGUGCCAGCAGCCGCGGUAAUACGGAAGGUCCGGGCGUUAUCCGGAUUUAUUGGGUUUAAAGGGAGCGUAGGCCGGAGAUUAAGCGUGUUGUGAAAUGUAGGAGCUCAACUUCUGCACUGCAGCGCGAACUGGUUUCCUUGAGUACGUAGGAAGUUGGCGGAAUUCGUGGUGUAGCGGUGAAAUGCUUAGAUAUCACGAAGAACUCCGAUUGCGAAGGCAGCUGACUGUAUCGUAACUGACGCUGAAGCUCGAAAGUGUGGGUAUCGAACAGG